rnacentral:lncRNA from 1 species
UGAUUCUAGUUCCGAGAUGUGAUCCUGUUGAACUCGAUGAGAACAAUAAGGAUUUAAUCAUCUACAUGGAUGCCAUGCAAAGGUUCGACUUUGAUUAAUGGCUUGGAGACAUAGGUCCGAAAUAGAGUCUAUGAAGGUCAACGAUGUAUGGACACUCGUUGAUUCACUCGAAGGAUAAAGUCCAUAAAGUGUAAGUGGAUCUUCAAU